rnacentral:rRNA from 1 species
ACGAACGCUGGCGGUAUGCUUAACACAUGCAAGUCGAACGAACAAGUCUAGCUUGCUAGAUGAGUUAGUGGCAAACGGGUGAGUAACACGUGGGAAUCUACCCAGUAGUACGGAAUAACAGUUGGAAACGACUGCUAAUACCGUAUAGUAUCGAGAGAUUAAAGAUUUAUCGCUACUGGAUGAGCCCGCGUCAGAUUAGGUAGUUGGUGGGGUAAAGGCCUACCAAGCCCGAGAUCUGUAGCUGGUCUGAGAGGAUGAUCAGCCACACUGGAACUGAGACACGGUCCAGACUCCUACGGGAGGCAGCAGUGAGGAAUAUUGGACAAUGGGCGAAAGCCUGAUCCAGCAAUACCGCGUGAGUGAAGAAGGCCUUAGGGUUGUAAAGCUCUUUCAGCAGGGAAAAUAAUGAUGGUACCUGCAAAAGAAGUCCCGGCUAACUCCGU